CCCUUUAUAGCUCAGUUGGUAGAGCGGAGGACUGUAAUGAAACGUCGUAACGACACUGUCAUCCUUAGGUCACUUGUUCGAAUCAGGUUGAAGGGA
rfam:Absidia glauca strain CBS 101.48 genome assembly, contig: contig_347